GGCAGGAGGGAUUGCUCCAAGUUCGAAGCCACCCUGGGCUACACAGUGAGUUCAAGGCCAGCCUGACUACAUAGCAAGACCCCGUUUCAGAAACAAUGAAAAUGAAAACCAAGAAAGGGAAUCAGAGAAAGAGAACUGAGAAUGAGAGAAACACAGACCACGAGAAGGCCCAGGCCACCGAGGAGACAGCAGAAGCAGAGUGAAGGGCGGCAGGGUGGGGACUGCGGUCCGGUGACCAAGCAUACACUUGGCACGCUAAGACUCUGGACUUAAUCCCCACCACAAAGGAAACCAGGGAAAAGAUAAAAAGCAAAGCAGACAAAGCUCGCCGGCCGCUCGUGGAAGGAACAGAGCACGCCUGAGUUCAGAGCUUCCUGGGCACAAGGCGGCAGAGUCAGCCAUGCCAGGGGCAGGGAGGCCGCGGAGAGCAGAUGCACAGAGGACCCAGGACAGAGGCAGCAGGGGCCACAGGCGGGCGAGGCCUUGCGCUCCUCCUGGAACCUCCUUCCCUGGUGUCUUCAGAGAUGCAGUGUGAAGGAGAUGGGGUCUGAGGAGCCACCCAGAAGGAACUGGGGGACCAGGGAUGCCGGGUUAGACAGGGGGGCCUGGUGCACGCUGUUCUUCUGCGCUACUCCGUCUGCAUCUGAUCCCAGCUCCAAAGCUUGAUCCCAGGAUUUCCAAGCAGCCCUUAUUCCCUCCAAUCGGAGGCUGCUCUGGGGAUUGUCUUUAUGGAACUCCCUGGCUCACAGCCUGAGAUAAGAUCUUCUUGUGCCUUUGUC